CUAGUCAGUACAGUUCUUCCCUCUGCAAAAACAUAGGCCGUUCUGAAUACCCACAACUCACUCUGAUCACUGGCUCGAUUUCAAGCACAGAAACACCGAAAACUGUUUCCAAAGUCUGGAGGUGUAGAAGAAAGCGGUCUUUUCAGUUGAAAUUUAAAAUUGGUAGGAGAUGAAGAAAGGAUUGCACCCUCAGAUGCAAUGGGUAUCCUAUGUGACACAGAGCGGGAGAUUGAUGCACGUUAUGAUGACCAAGAUACACCAUGUUGGCAAAGUCUACCACUUGAAGGCCAAGCGCCAAAUGGCUGAGAACCUUGGGCAGGUUGCUAAGUUCAGGCAACGUUAUGAGAAGGCGGCUCCUACUCAGAAAGAUGGACCGUGAUUGGUACCAUGGUCUGGAUUUUCAAUUUCAAUAACUUGUAUUUCACAGUUGUUUGUUAUGUUUAACUCGAUGAAGGGGGUUCCAUUGUGAUCUCAUUUUUGUGUACCGAGUAAAACUCGUGUGCUUCUGGAGUUAAGAGUUUGUUGCUACUCAUUGGCUUAUGUUCUGUUUCUACAUUAAUUGCAAUAACCUCAUGGCACUUACUGUAUGAACGUUUGACAUGAUAUGGUUUUUAAACAUCUA